rnacentral:misc_RNA from 1 species
GUCUCAGACACUGCCUUCGCAAUUCACUCUGUUCUUUCCUUUUCUUUCAUUACAAUUCUUGCCCAUCAUGUCCGAUAGAGUCUUCCCUUCCGCUAAACCAGCCGCCAACGGCACCGCCACCAAUCCUAAUGCCAACGCAACCGCCAACCCAACUGCUCCUUCUAACAAAUCUCAUCUCAUCAACCCCACUGCCCGGCCCCCUUACCGACCACAGCCUCACAGCCGCCGCUACCGUUCCCGUAGUGGCCGGAGCAUUUGCUGUUGCUGUUUCUUCUGGAGCUUCAUUAUCCUCUUAUUACUCAUCCUCCUCGCCGCAAUUGCUGGAGCUGCUCUUUACAUCAUCUACCGUCCCCACAGACCCGCUUUCUCCAUUCCUUCCCUCCGUAUCCACCGCCUGAAUCUCACCACCUCCGCUGACUCCUCCUCGUCCCACCUCUCUACCCUCCUCAAUCUCACCAUCAUUUCGAAGAACCCCAAUUCCCAUCUCACCUUAUUCUACGACUCUCUC